rnacentral:rRNA from 1 species
CCUACGGGUGGCAGCAGUAGGGAAUAUUGCUCAAUGGGGGAAACCCUGACGCAGCAACGCCGCGUGGAGGAUGAAGGUUUUCGGAUGGUAAACUCCUUUUGUUAGAGAAGAUAAUGACGGUAUCUAACGAAUAAGCACCGGCUAACUCCGUGCCAGCAGCCGCGGUAAUACGGAGGGUGCAAGCGUUACUCGGAAUCACUGGGCGUAAAGAGCGCGUAGGCGGGAUAGCAAGUCAGAUGUGAAAGCCUAUGGCUUAACCAUAGAACUGCAUUUGAAACUGUUAUUCUAGAGUAUGGGAGAGGUAGGUGGAAUUCUUGGUGUAGGGGUAAAAUGCGUAGAGAUCAAGAGGAAUACUCAUUGCGAAGGCGACCUGCUAGAACAUAACUGACGCUGAUGAGCGAAAGCGUGGGGAGCAAACAGGAUUAGAUACCCGUGUAGUC